UGCACAGGAGCUGAACUCUGUGGAGCUGAAAUUGCCUUGGAAAUACAUAACAGACAAAGCUGGUGAGUGUCUAAGGCUCAAGGCAUCGGGGGAUUUCACACAAGCACAGAAGGUACAAUUAGAGGUGUAACAUCAGGAAUGCCUCCGCUUUCCUGCCAAAAUUGAAACACAUGGAGAAUCUCACAUGGAGCAAGACAAAUUAUGAAGAGAUGUAGGGAUUCAAGGAAGAGCUCAUGUUCAUUUAAGACAAGAAGAUCAAAGGAUUGAAGAUGGUGGAGAGUUUGGUUAUAUCACAGCCAGAAACACACGGAGUUCACAGAACAUCUGUAGUUCUACGGGAUUGCACACUUUGGAAUUCCUGUUUAAAGAUAAAUCACUUGUAAAAUCAAACACAACAUGAAGAAAUUUCUUAAAUUCAGCAUAUGUCAGUGAAUCAGAACCAUCUACUACAUCAGCAUUAUUGCCCAUAGG
rnacentral:lncRNA from 1 species